GUAAUUCUGGCAGUGACAAGGGAAAUACUGGAGGGAAGCUGUUAAACAGUGCUGUAGCUGGUGACUCUCACAAACACGAAAAUACAACCAAUAUGCAGGGAAAGAAGAAUUUAGCUGGUGAAACUGACAAAGACGAAAAUGUAGCCGAUACGCAGGGAAAGUAUUAUUUUGCUGGUGAAACCGACAAAGACACAAAUACAGCUUAUAUGCGGGGAAAGAAGAAUGUAGCUGGUGAAACCGACAAAGACACAAAUACAGCCGAUACGCAGGGAAAGUAUUAUUUUGCUGGUGAAACCGACAAAGACACAAAUACAGCCGAUACGCAGGGAAAGUAUUAUUUUGCUGGUGAAACCGACAAAGACACAAAUACAGCCGAUACGCAGGGAAAGUAUUAUUUUGCUGGUGAAACCGACAAAGACACAAAUACAGCCGAUACGCAGGGAAAGUAUUAUUUUGCUGGUGAAACCGACAAAGACACAAAUACAGCUUAUAUGCGGGGAAAGAAGAAUGUAGCUGGUGAAACCGACAAAGACACAAAUACAGCCGAUACGCAGGGAAAGGAAAGUAUUAUUUUGCUGGUUAAACCGACAAAGACACAAAUACAGCCGAUACGCAGGGAAAGUAUUAUUUUGCUGGUGAAACCAACAAAGACACAAAUACAGCCGAUACGCAGGGAAAGUAUUAUUUUGCUAGUGAAACCGACAAAGACGAAAAUGCAGCCGAUACAAAGGGAAAGCACCCUACAGGUCGUCAAUCUGACAAUCCAGUGGGUACAAGAGUGAUGGAGGAUGAAAACAUUCAUUACUUUGCCUACUUUGUCACCGGAGUGGUGCUGGUGGCCAUUCUCUACAUCUACAUCGCUAAGCACAACAAGCGCAAGAUUAUCAUCUUUGUUUUGGAAGGGAAGAAUUCCAGAUCCACACGUCGACCUAAAUCUUCAAAUUACCAGAAGCUGGAACAACAUAUGUGAUCCAAAGCUGCCCAGAGAAGCUGAGAAAACGGCUUUAGUAGACUGCGAGUGGAUACAAAUCAUGGAUCUACAGUAAAUAAAAUGACCUGUUAAAUGGACAUUCUUCUAUUCUUGACUUCUAAAUGUUGAAUGACUAUGCAGACGACACUGAUGCCUUAUUGGGAAUUGGAGGAAGUUAGAGGGGGCUGAGAUGGAGGGGAGUAAAAAAAGGAAGUUAUGUGAAAUAGGCUUGCAUUAAAAAAAGGAAGUUAUGUGAAAUAGGCUUGCAGUAUUUUGCACUGCUUUUGCAAUCUGGCCUGUCGAAGGCCCUCACUCAGGGUGUAGAAGUAGCAAAUCAGUAAGAAGUUUGUUCUUUCAACUUCAAUGGAUUUGUUUUUGUAUUUAGAAAAAAAAUGCCAUACCUGUGCCAAAUGAUUUAAGAAAAUAUUGUGAUUUAUUGUGCUGCUGUCUUUUUUUUUUUUCUUUGCCUCAUACUUUCAGUAAUCGUUUUUUUUCUAGCAAGUUUUGGUGAAAGAGAAAAUAUUCUGCUGCUUCCUGGAAGCCAUGUUUGUAGUAUGCUAAACAGUUAAUCUUUUUGGUCCUCUGAGUUUCAGAAAGAAUUGUAUAGACAUUCUGCUGUUUUACUUCAUAUCAAAUAUGAACAGCUGACUGCUUCUAUUAAAAUAAAAGCUAUUUUUUAACUUUCUUCUGUCACUUUUUUCUCUUAGAAUACUUUAAAUAGCACAUCUCUAAUUUAAUCCCUGUCAUCUGCAAAAAGGAAUGGGCUAAAAGGGCUAAAAACUGCAAAAUUACAUUAUCAUUCCAGGAUGGAAAAAAAAGCUUCUUAAUAUCUCUGGUUGAAGUAGAUAUGCACAGCAUGACUCUAAUCUGGAUGGGGAAAACAAGACAUUUUAUUAUAAAAUGUAAUAUCAGGUUUUGUCUGCUCUGGUUUUAAAAAAUGCCCUCAAAUAUAACAAGAUUGCAUGCUAGUCUUGCAUUAUUUUAGCAGACACAGUACCUUGCAGAAGUACUUAAACAUCCUGAACUUCCCCAUAUUUUCUCAAAUUUACAACCUUAAAGUAUUUCAUUGAUAUUUUACUUUGUAUUGGUGUGAGGUACACCAACACAAAGUAAAAACUUUUUAAGAGUUCAAAGCUGGCAACUGUAGCGUUCAUUUGAAGCUGAGUUGAUGCUUUUUUCUUUAUGUACCUUUUGCUCUGACAGCAGCUUUCCGGUCCUCACAGAUCAUACAUCUAGAUUCUGACUAAACGUUCUGACGCGUGAUUAUGCUUUGAUCCGAAGCUUUCUGUUGUUUGAGGUCGUUCUGCUGAAAGGUGAACAUCAGCAAGUCUUUUGCAGUCUGACACUGGUGUCCAAUUCCACAAAGGUCGGCAUGUAAGGGUGGGCCCUAUUGUUUAUAGUUCAUCGUGAUACAUUUCUUAUAAUGCUGAUUAUUAUUGUCAUGACAAAUUCCAGUUAAUGUUUAACACCCCCCAAAAUGUCCAUACUGUGGGGAUUGUUAACUUUACAAUUUUUUUCCCACUGUUUAUUCAGUGAAACUAUCAAUAAAUUUGAAAACUUGA